rnacentral:rRNA from 1 species
ACGGGGGGUGCAAGCGUUGUUCGGAAUCAUUGGGCGUAAAGCGCGCGCAGGAGGCUUGGUAAGUCAGAUGUGAAAUCCCUGGGCUUAACCCAGGAAGUGCAUUUGAUACUGCCUCGCUAGAGUACGGGAGAGGAAAGUGGAAUUCCUGGUGUAGAGGUUAAAUUCGUAGAUAUCAGGCGGAACACCGGUGGCGAAGGCAACUAUCUGGCCCGAUACUUACGCUCAGGCGCGAAAGCGUGUGGAUCAAAAAG